UUGGACUGGACUAUGGUUCGGCUGUAUUUUCGUUUUGCAACGAAAUUGAAAAUGGUUAUUCAUUUUUGAUUUACAUUUACUCUGUCUGGAGUAUGAAGGGAACCAGUCUCGUUGGAACUUUACCGCGCUGAGCAGAUGUGACGUGAAUUGUAAAUUGUAGAAUUCCCUCAUCUUCCUUAGUCUCAGCAUCCGUAUGGCUUGCAAAUUGUAGAAGCCUCGGAGGUGUAACCAGAGAAGGUUCCCAUUGUUUUCAUUCUGGUGGGAUAUGUUAUAUGCCAUUAGAGUGAAAACUUAGUCUUUUGCUAGCAGUUGCCGCUAGGGCAUCUAUGCCAUUUCGUUCGUUGCAAUUCGGGACUGCACGCUGGGGUUUGUUUUGGUUGGAUCAGGGAGAGCAGCAUAUGUGCCUCCUGAUGAGAGACUAAUAGUUUCGAAACCGGUAGAGGUGCUUGCAGCAGUCUCUGAUUGGACUGGAAUAUGGUUCGGCUGUAUUUUCGUUUUGCAACGAAAUUGAAAAUGGUUAUUCAUUUUUGAUUUACAUUUACUCUGUGUGGAGUAUGAAGGGAACCAGUCUCGUUGGAACUUUACCGCGCUGAGCAGAUGUGACGUGAAUUGUAAAUUGUAGAAUUCCCUCAUCUUCCUUAGUCUCAGCAUCCGUAUGGCUUGCAAAUUGUAGAAGCCUCGGAGGUGUAACCAGAGAAGGUUCCCAUUGUUUUCAUUCUGGAGGGAUAUGUUAUAUGCCAUUAGAGUGAAAACUUAGUCUUUUGCUAGCAGUUGCCGCUAGGGCAUCUAUGCCAUUUCGUUCGUUGCAAUUCGGGACUGCACGCUGGGGUUUGUUUUGGUUGGAUCAGGGAGAGCAGCAUAUGUGCCUCCUGAUGAGAGACUAAUAAGUUUCGAAACCGGUAGAGGUGCUUGCAGCACUCUCUGAUUGGACUGGAGUAUGGUUCGGCUGUAUUUUCGUUUUGCAACGAAAUUGAAAAUGGUUAUUCAUUUUUGAUUUACAUUUACUCUGUGUGGAGUAUGAAGGGAACCAGUCUCGUUGGAACUUUACCGCGCUGAGCAGAUGUGACGUGAAUUGUAAAUUGUAGAAUUCCCUCAUCUUCCUUAGUCUCAGCAUCCGUAUGGCUUGCAAAUUGUAGAAGCCUCGGAGGUGUAACCAGAGAUGGUUCCCAUUGUUUUCAUUCUGUUGGGAUAUGUUAUAUGCCAUUAGAGUGAAAACUUAGUCUUUUGCUAGCAGUUGCCGCUAGGGCAUCUAUGCCAUUUCGUUCGUUGCAAUUCGGGACUGCACGCUGGGGUUUGUUUUGGUUGGAUCAGGGAGAGCAGCAUAUGUGCCUCCUGAUGAGAGACUAAUAAGUUUCGAAACCGGUAGAGGUGCUUGCAGCACUCUCUGAUUGGACUGGAAUAUGGUUCGGCUGUAUUUUCGUUUUGCAACGAAAUUGAAAAUGGUUAUUCAUUUUUGAUUUACAUUUACUCUGUGUGGAGUAUGAAGGGAACCAGUCUCGUUGGAACUUUACCGCGCUGAGCAGAUGUGACGUGAAUUGUAAAUUGUAGAAUUCCCUCAUCUUCCUUAGUCUCAGCAUCCGUAUGGCUUGCAAAUUGUAGAAGCCUCGGAGGUGUAACCAGAAAAGGUUCCCAUUGUUUUCAUUCUGGUGGGAUAUGUUAUACGCCAUUAGAGUGAAAACUUAGUCUUUUGCUAGCAGUUGCCGCUAGGGCAUCUAUGCCAUUUCGUUCGUUGCAAUUCGGGACUGCACGCUGGGGUUUGUUUUGGUUGGAUCAGGGAGAGCAACAUAUGUGCCUCCUGAUGAGAGAAUAAUAAGUUUCGAAACCGGUAGAGGUGCUUGCAGCACUCUCUGAUUGGACUGGAAUAUGGUUCGGCUGUAUUUUCGUUUUGCAACGAAAUUGAAAAUGGUUAUUCAUUUUUGAUUUACAUAUACUCUGUGUGGAGUAUGAAGGGAACCAGUCUCGUUGGAACUUUACCGCGCUAAGCAGAUGUGACGUGAAUUGUAAAUUGUAGAAUUCCCUCAUCUUCCUUAGUCUCAGCAUCCGUAUGGCUUGCAAAUUGUAGAAGCCUCGGAGGUGUAACCAGAGAAGGUUCCCAUUGUUUUCAUUCUAGUGGGAUAUGUUAUAUGCCAUUAGAGUGAAAACUUAUUCUUUUGCUAGCAGUUGCCGCUAGGGCAUCUAUGCCAUUUCGUUCGUUGCAAUUCGGGACUGCACGCUGGGGUUUGUUUUGGUUGGAUCAGGGAGAGCAGCAUAUGUGCCUCCUGAUGAGAGACUAAUAAGUUUCGAAACCGGUAGAGGUGCUUGCAGCACUCUCUGAUUGGACUGGACUAUGGUUCGGCUGUAUUUUCGUUUUGCAACGAAAUUGAAAAUGGUUAUUCAUUUUUGAUUUACAUUUACUCUGUGUGGAGUAUGAAGGGAACCAGUCUCGUUGGAACUUUACCGCGCUGAGCAGAUGUGACGUGAAUUGUAAAUUGUAGAAUUCCCUCAUCUUCCUUAGUCUCAGCAUCCGUAUGGCUUGCAAAUUGUAGAAGCCUCGGAGGUGUAACCAGAGAAGGUUCCCAUUGUUUUCAUUCUGGUGGGAUAUGUUAUAUGCCAUUAGAGUGAAAACUUAGUCUUUUGCUAGCAGUUGCCGCUAGGGCAUCUAUGCCAUUUCGUUCGUUGCAAUUCGGGACUGCACGCUGGGGUUUGUUUUGGUUGGAUCAGGGAGAGCAGCAUAUGUGCCUCCUGAUGAGAGACUAAUAGUUUCGAAACCGGUAGAGGUGCUUGCAGCAGUCUCUGAUUGGACUGGAAUAUGGUUCGGCUGUAUUUUCGUUUUGCAACGAAAUUGAAAAUGGUUAUUCAUUUUUGAUUUACAUUUACUCUGUGUGGAGUAUGAAGGGAACCAGUCUCGUUGGAACUUUACCGCGCUGAGCAGAUGUGACGUGAAUUGUAAAUUGUAGAAUUCCCUCAUCUUCCUUAGUCUCAGCAUCCGUAUGGCUUGCAAAUUGUAGAAGCCUCGGAGGUGUAACCAGAGAAGGUUCCCAUUGUUUUCAUUCUGGAGGGAUAUGUUAUAUGCCAUUAGAGUGAAAACUUAGUCUUUUGCUAGCAGUUGCCGCUAGGGCAUCUAUGCCAUUUCGUUCGUUGCAAUUCGGGACUGCACGCUGGGGUUUGUUUUGGUUGGAUCAGGGAGAGCAGCAUAUGUGCCUCCUGAUGAGAGACUAAUAAGUUUCGAAACCGGUAGAGGUGCUUGCAGCACUCUCUGAUUGGACUGGAGUAUGGUUCGGCUGUAUUUUCGUUUUGCAACGAAAUUGAAAAUGGUUAUUCAUUUUUGAUUUACAUUUACUCUGUGUGGAGUAUGAAGGGAACCAGUCUCGUUGGAACUUUACCGCGCUGAGCAGAUGUGACGUGAAUUGUAAAUUGUAGAAUUCCCUCAUCUUCCUUAGUCUCAGCAUCCGUAUGGCUUGCAAAUUGUAGAAGCCUCGGAGGUGUAACCAGAGAUGGUUCCCAUUGUUUUCAUUCUGUUGGGAUAUGUUAUAUGCCAUUAGAGUGAAAACUUAGUCUUUUGCUAGCAGUUGCCGCUAGGGCAUCUAUGCCAUUUCGUUCGUUGCAAUUCGGGACUGCACGCUGGGGUUUGUUUUGGUUGGAUCAGGGAGAGCAGCAUAUGUGCCUCCUGAUGAGAGACUAAUAAGUUUCGAAACCGGUAGAGGUGCUUGCAGCACUCUCUGAUUGGACUGGAAUAUGGUUCGGCUGUAUUUUCGUUUUGCAACGAAAUUGAAAAUGGUUAUUCAUUUUUGAUUUACAUUUACUCUGUGUGGAGUAUGAAGGGAACCAGUCUCGUUGGAACUUUACCGCGCUGAGCAGAUGUGACGUGAAUUGUAAAUUGUAGAAUUCCCUCAUCUUCCUUAGUCUCAGCAUCCGUAUGGCUUGCAAAUUGUAGAAGCCUCGGAGGUGUAACCAGAGAAGGUUCCCAUUGUUUUCAUUCUAGUGGGAUAUGUUAUAUGCCAUUAGAGUGAAAACUUAUUCUUUUGCUAGCAGUUGCCGCUAGGGCAUCUAUGCCAUUUCGUUCGUUGCAAUUCGGGACUGCACGCUGGGGUUUGUUUUGGUUGGAUCAGGGAGAGCAGCAUAUGUGCCUCCUGAUGAGAGACUAAUAAGUUUCGAAACCGGUAGAGGUGCUUGCAGCACUCUCUGAUUGGACUGGACUAUGGUUCGGCUGUAUUUUCGUUUUGCAACGAAAUUGAAAAUGGUUAUUCAUUUUUGAUUUACAUUUACUCUGUGUGGAGUAUGAAGGGAACCAGUCUCGUUGGAACUUUACCGCGCUGAGCAGAUGUGACGUGAAUUGUAAAUUGUAGAAUUCCCUCAUCUUCCUUAGUCUCAGCAUCCGUAUGGCUUGCAAAUUGUAGAAGCCUCGGAGGUGUAACCAGAGAAGGUUCCCAUUGUUUUCAUUCUGGUGGGAUAUGUUAUAUGCCAUUAGAGUGAAAACUUAGUCUUUUGCUAGCAGUUGCCGCUAGGGCAUCUAUGCCAUUUCGUUCGUUGCAAUUCGGGACUGCACGCUGGGGUUUGUUUUGGUUGGAUCAGGGAGAGCAGCAUAUGUGCCUCCUGAUGAGAGAAUAAUAAGUUUCGAAACCGGUAGAGGUGCUUGCAGCACUCUCUGAUUGGACUGGAAUAUGGUUCGGCUGUAUUUUCGUUUUGCAACGAAAUUGAAAAUGGUUAUUCAUUUUUGAUUUACAUUUACUCUGUGUGGAGUAUGAAGGGAACCAGUCUCGUUGGAACUUUACCGCGCUAAGCAGAUGUGACGUGAAUUGUAAAUUGUAGAAUUCCCUCAUCUUCCUUAGUCUCAGCAUCCGUAUGGCUUGCAAAUUGUAGAAGCCUCGGAGGUGUAACCAGAGAAGGUUCCCAUUGUUUUCAUUCUAGUGGGAUAUGUUAUAUGCCAUUAGAGUGAAAACUUAUUCUUUUGCUAGCAGUUGCCGCUAGGGCAUCUAUGCCAUUUCGUUCGUUGCAAUUCGGGACUGCACGCUGGGGUUUGUUUUGGUUGGAUCAGGGAGAGCAGCAUAUGUGCCUCCUGAUGAGAGACUAAUAAGUUUCGAAACCGGUAGAGGUGCUUGCAGCACUCUCUGAUUGGACUGGACUAUGGUUCGGCUGUAUUUUCGUUUUGCAACGAAAUUGAAAAUGGUUAUUCAUUUUUGAUUUACAUUUACUCUGUGUGGAGUAUGAAGGGAACCAGUCUCGUUGGAACUUUACCGCGCUGAGCAGAUGUGACGUGAAUUGUAAAUUGUAGAAUUCCCUCAUCUUCCUUAGUCUCAGCAUCCGUAUGGCUUGCAAAUUGUAGAAGCCUCGGAGGUGUAACCAGAGAAGGUUCCCAUUGUUUUCAUUCUGGUGGGAUAUGUUAUAUGCCAUUAGAGUGAAAACUUAGUCUUUUGCUAGCAGUUGCCGCUAGGGCAUCUAUGCCAUUUCGUUCGUUGCAAUUCGGGACUGCACGCUGGGGUUUGUUUUGGUUGGAUCAGGGAGAGCAGCAUAUGUGCCUCCUGAUGAGAGACUAAUAAGUUUCGAAACCGGUAGAGGUGCUUGCAGCACUCUCUGAUUGGACUGGAAUAUGGUUCGGCUGUAUUUUCGUUUUGCAACGAAAUUGAAAAUGGUUAUUCAAUUUUGAUUUACAUUUACUCUGUGUGGAGUAUGAAGGGAACCAGUCUCGUUGGAACUUUACCGCGCUGAGCAGAUGUGACGUGAAUUGUAAAUUGUAGAAUUCCCUCAUCUUCCUUAGUCUCAGCAUCCGUAUGGCUUGCAAAUUGUAGAAGCCUCGGAGGUGUAACCAGAGAAGGUUCCCAUUGUUUUCAUUCUGGUGGGAUAUGUUAUAUGCCAUUAGAGUGAAAACUUAGU
rnacentral:lncRNA from 1 species